GGAUAGAUAGUCUGAAUAUGUUGAUUUUAAUAUGGUUUGAGAGUGGUCUAGUCACAUUACCGACUGGAAAUCGUGUGAACGUUAAUAGCGUUCCGAGGGUUCGAAUCCCUCUCUCUCCGCCA
rnacentral:tRNA from 1 species